CCGUGCGGUCGCGUUUGGGUCCUCUUCUGUGAGCCUGCGUGUGUGUGAACUUUCUUUUUGAGCGAGAGAGGGAGAAAGUUUGCUGCGCCUCUUGCUCCUCUUGUUGUCCAGCUGUAGUGUCCAAUUGUGUUCAGUGAAAAAUGUCCUGAGUGUGUUGCUAAGUCCUGGGUGCGUCUAUAAGAGGAGGUAUAAGAGUCCAUUGUGGAACAGUCGUCGUUGGAGCGACACCCAACACAUCUGACGUAUGCUACAGAGGAUGAACACUGGUGCAAUCGGGAGGGAAAUUGGCUUCAUAAACCAGACGACAGAAUGGAUGAAGCAAAGUGGGAUGUCGCUGACCCCCAGUAUUCACAGCUUCAUGAUUCAAAAGAAUCUGUGGGAUAUUGUGAAGAGGAAGGUGAGAGACACCAAACCCAACACUGUGGAUGUGCUUAAGGCCGCUAUCGAACCAUCCUGGGCCUCCAUAACACCUCGGCAGUGCCACAGGCUGAUUGCCUCCAUGCCACGCCAUAUUGAAGCAGUCAUUUUUGCAAAAGGAUUCCUGACCAAGUAUUAAUUAAUUGAAGGUUGACUUUUUUUUUAUUAAAAAAACACUUUUUUUGUAUUGGUCGGAUGAAAUAUGCAAAUUUUUUGAGAUAGGGAUUUUUGUUUUUUCUUGACUUUUUUGCCAAAAUCAUCAACAUUAAAACAAUAAAAGGCUUGAACUACUUCAGUUGUGUGUAAUGAAAGUCUAAUGUAUAUCAGUACAUUACAGAAAAUAAUGAACUUUAGCACGAUAUACAAAUUUUCUUAGAAGGACUAGUCUUUUUUGUUUUUGUUUGGUUACAUCUUUUUAUUUGAGUUUUUUAACAGAGUUCAAAACAUCUCAGCCAAAACGAAAGUAACAGAAUAAUCUUAUUCAUGGUCCAUUUGGUAACAGCGGAAAGGUAAACGCUUAGUCUUUGUCUUAAUUACAAAGUUGUGUUUGGCUGUGUCAUAAACAGGUCCAUUAUCUUUUUUACACAGACCACAUAUAAAAAAAACACAGGGAGACGACACACACACACCUACACAAAAAUAAAAAAAUAAAAUAAAUGGAAAUAAAUUUAAUGUUUUCGGCUGCAAUGCACAUGCUAAACCAGCAUAACCUAAUCACGUGGUCGUACUUGCUCAAUCGAACGUGAGUAACAUGCGUAAGUUACGUCGGGUUUUUUUCAACCUUUUCUGAGUCACGGCAGAUUUUUACAUUGGGGAAAAAAUCUCGCGGCACAUCACAAAUGUUCCAAAAUUACUUUGUGUAGUAUAUUUAUUUAUAAAAUAGUUUCUCAAUAUUUAUACUUACUCAGAGUGGAACUUGAGCCUGUUUAGAUGAACCCAAAGCUGAUAUCCUGACAGGUAUCUUCAUCAAUAAGUGUCUUUAACCGGAUCGGGGCUGAGCAGCUCGCUGACAAUAGCUUUGCAGGCAGGUAGUACUUGUUUUAAGGUCUCUGCCACAGUGUGGUGCUUUGGAUUUAGCAACAAGUUCAGCAACAUGAAAAUUGGCUUUGGGGGCUUUCUCAUUUACCUUUUCUUGCUUUUCUCAAAAAAGUUGCCUGUUUCUCUGUGUUUUCACAAAGGCGAACAAAAUAGUGCAUUGACUUGUUUUGAAGCGACUGGUGUUUCAUUUGGGGAUGACGUUUAGGAUAGCUGCUCGUGUCGCGUUCAAGAACUGCUCAGAUUUCUAGCCGCCAGCUACCGAGCUGCACCUGACAAUGUGUUGGAAUAAAACUCAGAGGGAGGGUUGACUGUCGUCACAUACGGAUAAAAUGGAAAGGACACUUUUGUGAAUAUUGACCCUUGACGAAUCUAAUCAAAUGAUGUACAGUAGAUGUGCUAGGGUCCACAUUGUUGCAGACAGCAAGGUACCUGAUGGCUAGAAAUCCGAGCAGUUACUGAACGCCACAAAAGUAAUACCUCGCUCAUCAGCACACGACAGCAACUUUCUACCUCAUCCUUCCUUCCUACUGCAACUCCGCCCGAAGACGUAGAAAGAAUAAAAUAAAAAUGCGAUUUUGGAUCAUUUCUAGGGGUGCACAAUAUCCAUUUUUUGAAACCGAUAACGAUAUCUAUAACUUCCUGCUUCUCAAAGCCGAUAUCGAUAACCGAUAAUAAAUAUAUAGUUUUUUAAAUGUAUAACCUGAGUUUUUGAACACCUGGAGGUUUGAAAAAUAAAUUUAAAAAACUAGUGGUGGAUUCAACAUAGAUUUGCCUUUGAUCUCACCAGAUUUUUCAUAAUGACAGUGACAAAACAGUGCGUUUCACUUCUGAACUGCCCGACAGUCAGCUAAGAAUGAACGCACUUCCAUAAACCACAAGGCUUGGUCUUUUCUUGCUUUUAUGGGAAGACACUCGUCUUAAUAUUGUGAAAGUACAACAGAAAAAUACACAUAUUCAAUACUCAAUAUACAACAAACACUUAUAUACACAACUAUUAUAUGUAUAGCAUAGCACACUAGCUUGAGCUAAAGCAUUGGCUGGCUUCUAUAACACAACUUAUGAAGUUCUGUACAUAUGACCCUUCACCACAGAGGUAAACAUAUAUUGCACAUCCAUAUGUUAUAGUAAACAUAAAAUACAUAUAUUUCGAGGCGGAAACGUAACAGAAAGCAUUCAUGACUGUCAAUGCUACCACUAGACACCGCAAUGUGUAAGCGAUUGAACCAAACUACUGUAACAAAAAAUAGAUCCAGUGAAUUAUUCAGAUCAACAGGUGGGGGCAAUGACCCGCAAAUGGUCAACUGAUUUCCCAUACUAGUGUGUAAACUGUAAAGCCAGCACAGUACAUAUUAUCGGUCCUAUUAUAAAUGUUAUUGGAUUUAUCGGGAUUAGGGCUGGGCGAUAUGGCCUUAAACAUGUAUCACGAUAAAUUGAGCAGAUUUAUCUCGAUAAAUGACGAUAAAUUCGCCCAAGCGUACUGUUAUAUAAUUUGAAAAUCUGAAUCAAUGCAUGAAAUACAGAUUAACUGUUUCUUGUUGAUUUAUUUACCAGCAUUCAAUUUCAUAUACUGUAUUUAACAAUUGUACAUGCAGUCUAAACAUUAAGUUUAUAAAAAUGUAUUGUAAGCAAUAAGAAUUCAAGUAUGUACACUAUCAAAAUCAAUAUGCCUGUGCAAACAUGUCAUUGUAGCACAAAUGACUUGCAGCUUGAA